rnacentral:rRNA from 1 species
GCAGUAGCCGCGGGAAUACGAAGGGUGCAAGCGUUACUCGGAAUUACUGGGCGUAAAGCGUGCGUAGGUGGUGGUUUAAGUCCGUUGUGAAAGCCCUGGGCUCAACCUGGGAAUUGCAGUGGAUACUGGGUCACUAGAGUGUGGUAGAGGAUAGUGGAAUUUCCGGUGUAGCAGUGAAAUGCGUAGAGAUCGGAAGGAACAUCUGUGGCGAAGGCGACUAUCUGGGCCAACACUGACACUGAGGCACGAAAGCGUGGGGAGCAAACAGGAUUAGAUACCCGUGUAGUCCCUGUCUCUUAUAU